rnacentral:rRNA from 1 species
UUGACCUCGGAUCAGGUACGCAGCCCCCCCU